rnacentral:rRNA from 1 species
UUGGCUUAGAAGCAGCCAUCAUUUAAAGAAAGCGUAAUAGCUCACUGGUCGAGUCGGCCUGCGCGGAAGAUGUAACGGGGCUAAACCAUGCACCGAAGCUGCGGCAGCGACACUAUGUGUUGUUGGG